rnacentral:rRNA from 1 species
AUGGCGGCUAUGGGUGGGGACGAAAGGCAGAGGAUGGAGGCUCCGGCAGGGGACAAGUUCCCCGAGGGGCUGCGCGUGCUCGCUGUGGACGACGACUCCGUCUGCCUCAAGGUACUGGAGGACGUUCUGCGCCGCUGCAAAUACAACCCAACGACCGUGACAGACGCGAAGACGGCGUUGAAGAUGCUGAGGGCGGGGAAGGCAGAGUUCGACCUGGUGAUCACCGACGUGCACAUGCCAGGCAUGGACGGCUUCAAGCUCCUUGAGCUCAUCCACCUUGAGAUGGAUCUGCCCGUCACAUCAUGCUAUCUGUGUAUUGCAACAAGAAGGCUGUGA